rnacentral:rRNA from 1 species
UACGUAGGUGGCGAGCGUUGUUCGGAUUUAUUGGGCGUAAAGGGUCUGUAGGAGGUUUGUUAAAUACGGGGUGAAAUCCCGAAGCUCAACUUCGGAAUUGCCUUGUAGACUGACGGACUGGAGUACCGGAGAGGUAAGCGGAAUACCAGGUGUAGCGGUGGAAUGCGUAGAUAUCUGGUAGAACACCAAAAGCGAAGGCAGCUUGCUGGACGGAAACUGACUCUGAAAGACGAAAGCAUGGGGAGCAAACAGGAUUAGAUACCCUGGUAGUCCAUGCCGUAAACGUUGUCAACUUGAUGUGGGGGGAUUUAGUCCUCUCCGUAUCGAAGCUAACGCGAUAAGUUGACCGCCUGGGGACUACGGCCGCAAGGCUAAAACUCAAAGGAAUUGACGGGGGCCCGCACAAGCGGUGGAGCAUGUGGCUUAAUUCGAGGCAACGCGAAGAACCUUACCUGGUCUUGAAAUAUAUCGGAUCGCCUGUGAAAGCAGGUUUCCCUUCGGGGCUGAUAUACAGGUGCUGCAUGGCU